AAAAAAAGUCGAAGUAUGGAAAUAGUAGAAAUUUCAAAUAUUUUAGGAAUGUCUUUCUCCAGAGUAGCAUGUUGUUUAGAAACUAAAUUUCCACAGUAGAUUUCAUAGCUCCUGAACAUGAAUUAAAACUUUGAUAUUAGCUGCAGAAAUGUACAUUAGUUUGUGGGGAGGGGAUAAAGAAAAUAAUGUGCCAACCUCCCAACAAUUUCCCCAAACAGAUUUUUGCAUCUUGGUCAUUACACUUACUUUCAAGAUUCUUUUCUUGGUUUAAACAUCUAAUCUUGUCUCUUUGCUCACCUGCUCACUCUUCAAGCAAGCCUACGGCCAAAUAAAUUGCCAUACAUGUUUACCAAUAAACCAUUAUUUUCCAAGGAAUUUUUCUUAAUUUUUAAAAUUUAACAAGUUUAACUACAAUUAAUAAAGUACUCCCGGCACAAGGACUCUGAAACAUUGUUUGGGUCUUGGAAAAGUUUGAAACUUCCAAUUCAUUAGGACUUUGAGUAACUAUUUUGUACCUAAGAAUGAGAAUUGAUGGAGAGAGUGGUACUAAGCACAUAAUUUUAUGAAAUAUGAUGAAAACAUGAGAGUUUUGUUAUGACGCACAUAACAAUAAAGAACCUGUUUCUUUUUAGCAGGCUCCUAAAAAGUACCUCCCUUAUAAUUAUUAAAUAAAAACACUCACUUAUUCAGUACUCAGCUAGCUUUUAAGAUCUGAAUAACAGAAGUACACAGUGAGAGAGGUACUUACAUGGUUUCCUUGGAUACUGGAUGAUGCCAUUCAGGUCUAUGUUUUUAUCUGAAAGUGGUGCCCUGUGGAGAAACGAGGCUUGGUGAGUGGCUGUUUAUACAUAGUAAGUAAAUAGGAACUUUGUUUAUUUUACAAAGCAUUUUUUAUUUUGACCCAGCUUUCCUUUUCUCAUCACACCCAACUCCUGUAAACAGCAAUAAUAUGGUAGAACAGGUACUCUGUACAACUCUUUUUAACUCCACUUAAGAAAUCAUAAUUAUUAAGGCAGAAGCUCAGAAUGCUUUGGCUAAGGAUGUUACUCCUUGGGCUGCUUUAUAUAUCUUGACUAUUUUAUUUAUGUCAGACAUAUUAAUGAAUAUUGCCUGCCUCUCUAUUUUCCUCAAAAGGAAUAUUGCUCAAACCACUAAUAAAGAAAUUAGUCUAAAACAUUCACAUAAAUGAUAAAUGUCCUUACCUUAACCAAAAGAUAAGAGAACUCAAGCUUUAGCCAGUUUCUAAACAUGAAGGGUUUCCAUAGACCUUAGCUGCCAUUUUACAUGUUCCAGUGGCAUCCUAGAUUCCCAAUAGUUUUAGUGCUAUGAGCAUACAAUUUUGACAUUCAGUCCCUCAGAACUACACACAUUCUAAUUUUGGUAGUAUGAAUAAUCUCUCCUAUGUGAUAAGUUAUUUAACCUUCUAAUAUUUCUUAGAAUCGAAAAGAACAAAUGAGCUGCAGCAAAGAAUGGCAAAUAACUUUUAUGCUUAACACAAUUUAAUAACCUGAAAUGAAGUAAGUAUGUGCUAUGUUUCCAUUAAAAAGUUUCCAGCCACAAUUAAUUGAACGAAAACUUGUCUUGUUCCAAGAUUAUUCUUGGAAAUGUAAUUUUAAAAUCUGCUUGAAAUGACGAAACUUACUUUUUUAUACCAUAUGAAAGCAAUUUCAUUUUUUAGGAAUGAUUUUUGGAUAGACUUCCGAUUGGAUAUUUUCCAUCGGAACUAGCAGCAUAGGGGGUCGGGAGGGGGGAGGGGAGGGAAGCAAUUCUGUGUUCUUUUGCCAGCACUGACAAAGGUCUGGUUGUCAGUGAUACCUUUACAGCUAAAUUUACUCCAGAGUGACAGAAACAGGUGCACCUCGGCCUGCCAGACACUUGUGCAGAGAGAUCACGCAUCUCACGGCUUGACGAUCAAGGGGGCAAAGCCUCGGUCUUCAUAGAAAAGGAGAGGAGGCAAACGCAGCCCAAACUGGGGGUUUCUCUUCAAAGCCAGCUGGUCUGGCUUUAUUCUACAGGAAUUUUUUUUACCUGUCAGGGUUUGGACAACAAAGCCCUCAGCAGGUGCUGACGGGUACAACUUCCUGGAGAAGCAGAAAGGCACUGAGAAAACAUCUUGCUCUGUUGCUCAGGCUGGAGCGCAAUGGUGCCAUCGUAGCUUACUGUAACCUUGAACGUCUGUGCUCAAGCAAUCUUCCUGCCUCAGCCUCCUGAGUAGCUGGGACUACAGGUAUGCAUCACAAUGCCCAGCGAAUUAAAAACAACCUUUUUUUUUUUUUUUUUAAGAGAUGGGGUCUCACUCUGUCACCUAAAUUGGAGAGCAGUGGCACUGUCAUAGCUCACUGUGGCCUUGAAGUUCUGGGCUGAAGCAGUCCUCCUGCCUCAGCUUCCUGAGUGGCUGGGACUACAGGCAUGAACCACUACAUUCGGCUAAUUUUAAUUUUUUUUUGUAGAGACAGGGUCUUGUUCUAUUGUCCAAGCUGGUCUUGAAUUCCUGACCUCAAGCAAUCCUCCUGCCUCUGCCUCCCAAAGCACUGGGAUUAUUACAGGUAUGAGCCACCGUGCUGGGCCAUCAUGCUUACUCUUCGGAGGGAGAAGUGAAGUAUCUGAACGCCUCAGCCUGAGAAUGGGUCAUUUGCAAAGUAAAUAAAGGCAAAGCCAAAUGUCAGCACAACAAGCAAUUGAACAGAAUGACUGCAAACUGCUAAUGAAGGAGAAGGCAAGGUGCGGUUAGGAUGAACUGUAGAAGGACCCAUCCCCUAGAGCUCAUUGAGCAUCCACCCUGCUGUCCGGCCGUCCUCUCCAUAGAAAAACUACUGCUCUUUGUUAUUUUUCCAAAGCGUGCAUCUUGACGAGCACAUUGAGCCCAGGUGGCAUCUUUGCGGCUGCUCUGGCCAUGUACGCAGCUGUAUUUUUAGAGCACUCGGGGGGCUCGAUGGUCUUUGCCGACUUGAGGAAAUAGGUCACUGUAUUGCAGCAGAUCCUUGGUCAUGGGGCUGGGUUGGUCAUUGCCACUAUUUUAUGGGAUGGGGAAUUUGGAAGAUUAUGAAGUGUCAGCUGGUUGCCCUUGGACAUGCAGUGAGAGGGAGGAUUCUGUUUUGCUGGAAUUUAUAGUUUUUCUUUCUUUCUUUCUUUUUUUUUUUUUUUGAGACAGAGUCUCGCUCUGUCGCCCAGGCUGGAGUGUGCAGUGGCUCGAUCUCGGCUCACUGCAAGCUCCGCUUCCCGGGUUCACGCCUUUCUCCUGUCUCAGCCUCCCCAGUAGCUGGGACUACAGGCGCCCGCCACGACGCCCGGCUAAUUUUUUUGUAUUUUUAGUAGAGACGGGGUUUCAUCGUGUUAGCCAGGAUGGUCUCGAUCUCCUGACCUCGCAAUCCGCCCGCCUCGGCCUCCCAAAGUGCUGGGAUUACAUAAGAGACCAUGAGGCAGGGGCGCAGUGGCUCAUACCUGUAAUCCCAGCGCUUUCGGAGGCUGAGUAGGAAGGAUCACUUGAUGCCAGGAGUUCGAGACCAGCCUGGGUAACAUAGUGAGACCCUCAUUUCUACAAAAUAUAA
rnacentral:lncRNA from 1 species